GCUUCGGCUCGCAUGACGCUUGACAUUGUACGCUGGGAACGCGCGAGGAGGAAUCAUUUGAUAACGCCAUAUUUUGAAACGCCAGCGAUGGAAUCUGACGCCGUCGGCGCAUCAACAUUGGUCGACGGAGUAGACAUUGAACAUAUGAUGCGCCGCUCCUCCCUGAGGCGCUUUAUGCGCCAAGUCCGUCUCUGCUCCUCCAAGGCGUCCGACGGCGGAGAACGAAGCUACAAGCUACUCGUUGUCGGGGGCGGAUCGGGCGGCAUCGCCACGGCAGCGAAGUUCGCAUCCAAGCUGGGCAAGGGAAAAGUCGGCGUGAUCGAGCCGCACGAUACGCACUGCUACCAACCCCUGUGGACGCUGGUCGGCGGUGGCAUAAAGCAGGUGUGCAGCUCCACCAAGCCGAUGUCCGAAGUAAUCCCAAGCCAGGCCGAAUGGAUACAGGAUGCGGCCCAGACCUUUGCGCCGCAGGAGAACACCGUGGUCACCAAGCAUGGGCUCAAGAUCAAGUACGAUUUCCUCGUUGUAGCAAUGGGAAUCCAAGUGCGGUUUGACAUGAUCGAAGGCCUGGUGGAAGCGUUAGAGACGCCCUACGUGUGUUCCAACUACUCGUACAACACGGUUACCAAGACGUACCAGGCGAUGCAGGCGCUGAAGGAAGGCAACGCCAUCUUCACCUACCCGGCCACGCCCAUCAAGUGUCCCGGCGCAGCGCAGAAAAUAAUGUACCUCACCGAUGCAUACCUCCGAAAAGAAGGUCGACGCGAUAAGGUGGACAUCAUCUUCAAUACAUCCAUGGGUGUCAUCUUCGGCGUGCGAAAGUACGCCGAUGCCCUCUGGGAUGUAGUGAAAGGACGUGGAAUCACCGUAAACAUGAAGCACGAGUUGGUCCAGGUGUUGCCGAACAAAAGGGAGGCUGUCUUCCGCCUGCUAGACAGCACUGCUAAUCCGAAGGAGACAGUCACGUUCAAAUACAACAUGCUCCACGUGGUGCCCCCGAUGACGCCCUCGGCGAUCCUCAAGACGGGACCCUCAUUCACCGAUAAUACUGGGUACCUGGACGUCGACGGCGAGACGCUGCAGCACAAGCGCUACCCCAACGUGUUCGGCAUCGGUGACUGCACCAACGUGCCCACGUCCAAGACAGCGGCCGCCGUUGCUGGAGAACUCGGCAUACUGCGAAAAAACCUCACGAACGUGAUGAAGGCAAGGCACCGACCAAAAAGUACAAUGGCUACACAUCAUGUCCGCUGGUGACCAGCUACGACAAGUGCAUCCUAGCUGAAUUCGACUCCAAAGCGGAACCGCUUGAAACGUUCCCGUUCAACCAGGCUAAGGAGCGCACCAGCAUGUUCUACAUGAAGAGGGACAUGCUGCCCUUCAUAUACUGGAACCUGUUCUUGCGGGGCUACUGGGAAGGUCCCGGAAUAUUCCGAAAAGCGAUGCGCUUGGGAUUCUCGAAAUGAAGCGUCAAUUUUUGUUCCCUUGUUUUAAGCGUGUCGCUAAAGAACCGCGUACGUUAUCCGAAUAUUUGCCUCAAGCAGUGGCAUACUCUUGUGAUUCUGGCUGUUGCGCAAGGGUGCAGCGUAUUUAUAUUAUAGCAAGCGUUUGUGUAUAUAGUAUCAUGUCUUCCAUGAACUGUGCUAUGAAACUAAGUCAUAUGAGCUCUUCGUCCCACAUAGUUUCAUAGCUUGCUAUAUUUUUCACUUGUGUAAAAAUUUAUUUUGUUUGUAGUUCCACACACAUAUAACUUAUUUUCUUUUGUGUUCAUGGAAUAAAAUGAAAGUCGCUAUUUAA
rnacentral:misc_RNA from 1 species